rnacentral:rRNA from 1 species
UACGAAGGGUGCAAGCGUUACUCGGAAUUACUGGGCGUAAAGCGUGCGUAGGUGGUGAGUUAAGUCUGUCGUGAAAGCCCCGGGCUCAACCUGGGAAUGGCGAUGGAUACUGGCUCGCUAGAGUGCGGUAGAGGAGAGUGGAAUUCCCGGUGUAGCAGUGAAAUGCGUAGAGAUCGGGAGGAACACCGGUGGCGAAGGCGGGUCUCUGGGCAACAACUGACGCUGAGGAGCGAAAGCGUGGGGAGCAAACGGG